UGCUCACUAAGGUGGCGCCCUGGCGGAGUACUCAGAGCAUACUCAUAGCCAGAGGAGCUUAAGUUUGUCUCUAGCGAGGAAAUGAAGUUAGAGACAGGAAUGGUGUUUCCAGCGCAUAAUAAUUCUAGCUUUAAGCCAAUUUCUUUUUCGAUUAUUUAAGGAUUUUGUCUCACAAAGAAUCUCAAGGCCAUUUAGACAAAAAGGGCCCACCUCCUCCUCGGAAUGGCCCCAGCCUAUUGGCUCAAUCUCAUGCCCAUCAGCACCGGAAACUGGUGAUGAGUUCUCAGGGCUCGGCGGAGUUCUUUUGGGUAUUGUAGUCCUGAGGGCUGGAGGACAAGCCUGCUUUCCUCUUUUCUUUCGUUCUUUUCGGGAGGAAUUUUUUUUUUUUGCACUUCCGGAAGUAGAACAGCAACCUCAGUACUCCCGGUGAGGGGCGGAGCGUUUGCCUUCAAUCCCCUCUGGCUUUGUGGACAGAGGCUGCUCGAGGCUCCUUGAGAUCGCAUGCUUCUCAAAAGACCUCACAUUCCUCUGCCUUCAGAGCUGGAUUCAGGCUCCCUGGAUAAUCUGGAGACCUCAAAGUGGAGUCCACAGGCUGGCACCAUUGGCUUCUCAGGAUCACUUCAGUGCGGAAGAGUGAGGAGAGCUGUGGACAGGGUGCUGCAGCUCUAUCUGACAGAUUUUAUGCAAGAUGUGGAAUACUUUAAGUUCUUGAGGAAGAACUCUUGAUCUUGAUCUUGAGGGGUCUAGGAGAGCCAUAGCAGAUGAUUUCCAUGUGAGGAGUUUGAUGAAGGAAGAUGAAGCAGUAUUGGGGAAGGGCAUUAUGGAGUAAAAGGUUCCCUGGCAUGGUAAGGGAAUUCUUCCCCAGGGCCCUUUAUUCCCCCUCCCUCAACCAUGGCUCCAGGCUCUUUUCUCUGACUGAAACAAAACAAAACUAAAGCAAACAAAAAGAAAGCCCUGUCUGGUUCAUGGAUCCUUUACCUUUGUGAUUCCUAGAGAAUCUGAAAGUCUCCUUUCACCAGGUCUUUUCUCUCCCCAUGGCUGACAAAUUCAUUCUCCUCACCUUAUAUCUGGUCUCACCUUUCCUGCCUUACUUGGAUAGUGGUGAAAGAGAUAGAAUUAAGUGUAUUGUUCUCAGAAUGAGUAAUCAGCGUGCACCCCAUUUCUUCUAGGCAAAAACACAGUUUAAUACCUAGUUUUUAUCCUAACUAAGGAAGGGUAUAUGGAGUCUAGUUUGUUGCUUUUGAUAACCAUUUUAUCUAAAAGUCCCAGUGAGGAGCCCUUGAAGAGUGACAGAUAACAAGGAACAAAGGGCCCCAAUUCAAGGGCAAUUGGCAGUUCCAUUACUCCUUUAUCUCUUAAAGGAAAGUAGAAUGUAACUUUUUCUUUAUAUUGUUCUAAGUUAGAAACCUCCCUCUUCAAGAUUGUAUGUCACAGCUUCUUCAACUAGAGAACCCCUUCUCCAUCCUGUGACAGGAAAGGGAGGAAGUGGGAGAAGAAGAUUUGUGAUUAGAGAUUCCUGUAUAUAUAUAUAUAUAUAUAUAUAUAUAUUGAGGGUCUUUGCUUAAUUCUUUGGUACUUGCCAUUAAGGCAUCUUCUCCUUUUCAUGAAAAUAAAAUUAAACUGGGCUCCUUUUACUCUGACUCUCCAAAUCCAGUUUUUUGCAAAUGGGGCAUUCAUGCUUGUUAUCUUAUCCCACACAGUGGUGUGUAGAGUGCAGCAGCCCCCUGCUUUGAGACAGUGUGAACUCCAUUUUGUACACAUGUGACUUGUCCAGUUAGCAACCCAAUAAAUCCUGUAGAUUGGGAAAAACCCUACUUUUGGGGAGGGUAUGCACCCCAAAGUCACUCUAAUGAGUAGACAGGAGACUUUGCUAAGAUGCUGACAGGUUGUAGCUUUAUUUGGAGAAAAGAAGUGGGGGAAGGGAGGAGAGAGGGAGGAGAAGGGAAGGAAAAGGAAUUCUGCCCAUAUAAGCUGCUUGUUCUGUGCAAAAAUGUCCUCUCUCUACAUGUAAACAUAAACUUUUAUUAUAAUGUUGAUGCAAGAUUCCCCCUGCCCUCGUCCAACCCUGUACAAGAUGGGGCUGUGACAUUCACAGUCUUGAGUGUGUGAUUUUCAACAUUAUGUACCUCUAAAGACCCCCAUGAUCAAAACUCAGUGACUAUCAUGUGAUUUUCAGUUGCAGACAGUAAAGAUAUAUAUGAAACUCCCUGCUCCUUCCUCCUUCAGCUCAUCUUGCCCCUCUUCCUAGAGCUGGCUUAUUUCCCAAGUUACAGAUAAACUCUUCUCAGGGUUUUUGAAAAUAAAUCAGGAAAACUAAAAAUUUUAUGGAGGGGGGCAGCUUUAUUCUAAGGCUAAGUCUAAAUAGGGUUUUGAAAAUUGGGAUUACACACCAAAUACUACUCUGAGAAUUACACACUGAAUCUCAUCCCACACAGUGGAAAAGUACUGUACUUGGAACCAGAGGAAGCCUCAUGCUCUUCUACUUAAUACUUUUGUGGCCAUGGGCAAGUCCCUUUGCUGUUCUGGGACUCAGUUUCCUCAUCUGGAAAAUAAAGUUGACCGAUCACUGAAGUACUUUCUAGCAUUAAAAUCCUGUGAACCUAAAUUGGUGUUAUUAUUUAUCACACUAAUUUCUCCACAGAUUCAACUCCAGUCUUUCCCUACGCUCCACCCUCUUUGUCCUCCACAUCCUCAUCCUCAGACCCUUUUGUGAUCCAGGUGUAACAAAUGUUUCAACAACCUCUCCCACAGGGGAAAUACACUAGAGCUUUAAGAGCCAAAUGGAAUGUUUAUGGUUGCAAUGGCUGUUAGGGCCAGCAGUUUUUGAGAAAACUGAGAAGAGAGACUUGAUGUUUUAUUCUGAUUUUAUUGGGAAAACAGAAAGAAGGUGAAAACUUCUUUUUUGAGAAAACUGUCAGCUUUUAUUUUAUGAAGAAACAUUAUAAAGAGACUUAUAAGAAAUAAAUUUGAAGAGAUUCUUCAGUGAUGGUUGAGAGAAAUUGCAGAGACUUUUCCUGUCAUGACUUAGGAGAAGCUGAGGAAGACAAGAGAAGCCAUCUUUUACUUAUGGGACUGUUUUAACGUUUAUCUUGAGAAGAGGAAGAAGAGAAUUAUUAUUAUUUUUUUAAAAAACCCUUACCUUCCGUCUUGGAGUCAAUACUGUGUAUUGGCUCCAAGGCAGAAGAGUGGUAAGGGCUAGGCAAUGGGGGUCAAGUGACUUGCCCAGGGUCACACAGCUGGGAAGUGGCUGAGGCCAGAUUUGAACCUAGGACCUCCCGUCUCUAGGGCUGACUCUUAAUCCACUGAGCUACCCAGCUGCCCCCGAAGAAGAGAAUUAUUGAGAAAAGAAUUUGCUUGGUAUCUUGAGUGAACUGUAUGGUGGAACUGUGAUCUCAGAAGUUAAGAGAAGACUUUGGCCAUUCUAGUGAGAGUUUGGGAUGACUGGUCAUGAUCCUUCUCAAAGCUAGAAUAUUAUAUAAAAAACCAUCUAUAUUAUUGAUUUCAUUGUUAAUACAUUGUAUAUGUAGUAACUUUAAUAUUCAUUUAAUGCUGGGAGAUUAAGAUUCAGUAUAUAGAGAGAUGGUAAAGGAGAUUUCUCUGGAAUAUUAAAUAAAUGCUAUUUGAUAAA